CCCGGAUUACACGUUCCACGGACACACCGACAAAUCCGCCGUAUACAAAGGAAUUUCCCCUGUAUACGAAGCGACAGCUGUACCUGUAAAACAUACAAUACUACAAACAGUAGUAUAGAGCUGCUAGAAGAACUAGUAAAGUAAAAGAAACCGAGUUCCAUAUACAUACACUGAAUCCCAGAGUACAAAGCUACUCGCGCUGGCGAGUUAAAAGUCUGUAUGUACAUGAACCCAAACCAAAACAUCUACCUGCAGUAGGGGUGCAUCUAGCUCUGCUCCUCGGGUAGGGCUCUAACUCGUGACGCCCUUGCCUAGCUCCUGACCAGCAACAGCAGCAGCCAAAGACGAAGGCUCUGCAAAAACGGGAUAACAACUGGACGUGAGAACUACUGUAGAAAUAAGUAGUCCUCAGUAGGUGCCGCCCUCAACAAUCAUCGGUCCACCCAUUAAGUCUACAGAAGGUAACAAGGCUAGCAGGAAAAGCUGGAAAGAAAUCUACAGCUACAUAUCGCUACACUAGCAUGAUCUACACUAACCAACUGUAGUAAAAGUCACAACUGACUCAAUCUCACUAGGGACUGUGAACACACCCGUCCCGCCUGUCGGAUCGAACCCGUAUCCUACUCCAGGAAUAGCUGGUGGAGAAAACUCUCUAGGGACUGUGAAUACACCCGUCCCGCCUAAUUAGGUGACACCGUAGCUCAAGAGUAACUGGCGGAGAAAACUCUCUGGAGACUGUGAAUACACCCGUCCCGUCUACUAGAAUACGUCGUAUUUCAAGAGUAAUCGGCGGAGAAAACUCUCUAAAGACUGUGAAUACACCUGUCUCACCUAAUUAGACUACACCAUACCUCGAGAGUAGUCGGUCCCAGAAAAAGGUCCAACAGGAUGGUUAAGACUCCACUCACGUCACAACCUCACUAAAGGUAGGGAAAAACGUCACUCACUAUCUCACCCGGGCUGCCCAAAACGGACCCACCCUACCUGUAUCUAGCUGCGCCGUACACCACCCCGAGGGUAGCCGGCUCAAGAACUGUCCAACAGAAACUGCGACACUUAUCGCACUGAAACCUCAUUCCCGAAUAGCAUUCACGAGCGCGACCCAACGAGUUUACAAGUAUCUCUGUCAAGUUCAUACCGCUCUCACAGGCUAAGUCAAGUAACCGACCUUAACUGGUCUAACAACGAACAGGUAAAGUGCCCUCGACACAAUCUAACGCUAAAAAGGCGAUACGAGUCCACCGUCAACUCCGACGGCACCCAACAGUCCGGAACAGCCUGAACUCUACUAUAAAAAUACACUCGGCAUCCCAGCACGAGCGUAACUAAAAAUUAAACUACCUGAAAUAUUCACUAUGAGGAUACUGCAACAGUAUAAAAUAAUACAACGGCCCCUAGGCUAAAUCAGGUAGUUUAACAUAUGCCAGGUCCCGAAAGCCGGUUUUCUCCUGUGUCAAAUCCAGGUCCAACAUGUAUAAUUUAUUUAUAAAAAUAGGCUCCAAUUUCAGUUUAGAUGAAAACAACAUUUACAAAUAUGAAACUGAGCUAAAACAAUAGUAAUGUGUAAUACUAACAAUACAUGUUGACCAACAAGACUAUACGAGUAGGAAUCCGAUGAUAAACCCACCUCGAAAGGUAAAUCCAAUCCGGCGCGACGUCGAGAACGGCGGAAACGCACCCUCGUCCAGCCUCCUCGUGAUGCUACGACUGCAACCGUAUCCUCGAACGGCUUUGCGGCGCGACGUCAAUGUCGAAUCCGAGCUCCUCGGCUACCUCUACCCGUGCUCUCCACCAUGCACGUAAUUAACUAGAGAGAACAAAAAAAAAUGCACACUCUCUGUUAAUUUGAAGAGAUAAACAUGAAAAGGGUGGUGGCAUCCUUAUCCAAAAAAAUGACCACUAUGCCCCUAGACCAACUCAAAAUGAAGGGUAUUACAUCCUCCCCCACUAUAAAAAGUUUCGUCCUCGAAACUUAAAACAUAUCUCAAACCUGAGUCUCGAACAAGUAGGGAUAGGACUCCCGCAUCACCAUCUUCGGCUCCCAGGUUGCCUUCCGUUCCUCAUGAUUGCUCCACUACACUUUCACAUACGGGAUGUCCCGGUUGCGCAAUUCUUUCGUCUCCCGAGCAAGAAUCCGCAACGGUCGCUCCUCGUAUCUCAGAUCCUCGCCAAUCUCUAGUGGAGUGAAAUCGAUCACGUGAGAAGGAUCGAAAAUAUAUCUCCUCAAUGCUGAGACGUUGAAGACAUCGUGAAUGCCAGCUAGUCACGGGGGUAGAGCGAUCCUGUAAGCAACUGGUCCAACUCGCUCCAAUACCUCAAAAGGGCCAACAAAGCGUGGACUGAGCUUUCCACGCACUCCAAAUCGGCAAAUCCCUCUGGACGGCGAGACUUUAAGAAAUACAUGAUCUCCAACCUGGAACUCUAAGUCUCGUCUCCUGGUAUCGGCGUAGCUCCUCUGGCGGCACUGGGCUGUCAAAAGGUGUCGUCGAACAACUCUCACCUUUUCCUCAGCCUCUAGCAAAAUCUCAGGCCCAAGUGUCUUCCUCUUACCCACAUCACUCUAAAACAACGGGGAUCGACAUCUGCGUCCAUACAACGCCUCAAACGGAGCUAUCUGGAUGCUCGUUUGAUAGCUGUUGUUGUACGCAAACUCAACCAGUCUCAAAUGUCGAUACCACCCUCCUCCAAAAUCCAGGACACAUGCCCUCAGCAUGUUCUCUAGAGUCUGAAUGGCCCUCUCUGACUGACCAUCUGUCUGUGGGUGGAACGCUGUGCUAAAAUGCAACUGAGUGCCCAAGGCUGUCUGUAGACUCCUCCAAAACUGAGAUACAAACCUCGGGUCUCUGUCUGAUACAAUCGACACUGGCACGCCGUGCAGCCUGACGAUCUCAUCCAGGUAUAGAUGCGCGAGUCUCUCUCUGGACCAGAUGGUCUGAACCGAUAAGAAGUGAGCAGACUUGGUCAGUCUGUCCACUAUCACCCAAAUCGCAUCAAAGCCACCCUGCGCUCUAGGCAAUCUCACGACAAAGUCCACCGUAAUCUUCUCCCACUUUCACUCGACACUGGCAGACUCUGAAGCUUGCCAGCAGGUACCUGAUGCUCGGCCUUCACCUAUUGGCAAGUCAAAUACUGAGCCACAUACCGGCCAAUGCCUCUCUUCAUUCCAUUCCACCAAAACUGUGCCUUCAAGUCCUUAUACAUCUUGGUUUCACUUGGGUGAACCGUAUAAGGAGAACAAUGAGUCUCUCUCAAGAUGUCCUCUUGGAUCCCUAAAUCCACCGGCACACACAGUCGGUCCCUAUACCGCAGUACUCCCGAACUGUCAACAGAAAAACCCUCAGCCUGUCCCCUAUGUAGCUGCUCUCGAAUCCUCGUCAAGUACGGAUCUCCACUCUGUUUCUCUCGGAUCCUAUCCAACAGAGUGGGCUGCAAGACCAGAGACAUUAGUCUCGCAGUAGACCCAGGGGAUAUUAUCUCAAGCCUCAGCCGCUGGAGCUCCUCAAGUAACGGUCUCUGCUCAGUGAUCAUCACACUCAGGCUCUGCACUGACUUCCUGCUCAACGCAUCUGCCACUACAUUCGCCUUACCGGGAUGAUACUGAAUACUAAUGUCAUAGUCCUUCAGUAACUCCAACCACCGGUGCUGCCUCAGGUUCAGCUCCCUCUGUGUGAACAGAUACUUGAGACUUUUAUGAUCCGUAAAAAUCUCGCAGUGCUCGCCGUACAAGUAAUGUCGCCACAACUUCAAAGCAAAGACUACCGCGGCAAGCUCCAAGUCAUGCGUAGGGUAAUUCUUCUCAUAAUCCUUUAACUGCCGUGAUGCAUAAACAAUUACCCUACCAUGCUGCAUCAACACACAACCCAGUCCACUGUGCGAUGCAUCAUUGUAGAUCACAAAUCCUUCCCCCAUCACAGGAAGGGCAAGGAUAGGAGCUGACGUCAACCUUUGUCGCAACUCAUCAAAGCUCCUCUGACAAUCCUCACUCUAGAUGAAUCUAAUCCCCUUUCGCGUCAAUCGAGUGAGGGGUGUGGAAAGCUUCGCAAAGCCUUCCACAAACCGACGGUAAUAUUCUGCUAAUCCAAGGAAACUCCUCACCUCUGUCACCGUCACCGAUCUGGGCCAACCCCGAAUAACAUCAAUCUUCUUCGGGUCCACUGCUACUCCCUCUGCUGAUAUCACAUGGCCCAAGAAAGCAACCUCUCGUAACCAGAACUCGAACUUCUUCAACUUGGCAUACAACUUCUUCUCUCGCAGAAGUUGUAGCACAAUUCUCAAGUGCUCCUCAUGCUCAGCAUCACUCCGGGAGUAAAUCAGGAUAUCGUCGGUAAAGACUACCACAAAUCUAUCCAAGAACGACUUAAACACUCUGUUCAUCAAAUCCAUGAAUGCUGCAGGGGCAUUCGUCAAUCCAAAAGGCAUCACCGUUAACUCAUAAUGCCCGUACCGAGUCCGAAAAGCCGUCUUGGGAACAUCCUCGGCCCUUACCCUCAAUUGGUGGUAACCUGACUGGAGAUCAAUCUUCGAAAAGACAUAAGAUCCCUGCAGCUGAUUAAACAGAUCAUCAAUGCGCGGCAAGGGAUACUUAUUCUUGAUGGUCACUUUAUUCAGCUCCCGGUAGUCCACACACAGCCUAAGUAAACCAUCAUUCUUCUUCACAAACAACACCGGCGCUCCCCAAGGCGAAACAUUGGGUCUCACAAACCCUCUAUCCAUCAAAUCCUGAAGCUGUGCCUUUAGCUCUCUCAGCUCUGCUGGCGCAAUCCGAUAAGGUACCUUUGAGAUUGGUGCAGUUCCAGGAACUACAUCAAUCACAAACUCAAUCUCCCUCUCCGGCGGCAACGUCGUCAACUCAGGAGGAAACACAUCUAGAAACUCAUGGACUAUAGGGAUAUCCUCGAGUCCCGGCGCCGCCGUAGGUACCUCCACAACUGCCGCUAAGAAAGCGAUACACCCACUACUCAGCAUCUGUCGAGCUCUCGCCGAAGAUAUCCAGGUGGCAAACAACGUACUACUACAGCCUCUGAAAGUGAACUCCUUCUGGCUUGGCUCGCGGAAUGUCACCGUCCUCGCUCCACAAUCGAUCGUAGCAUAGUACCGCGUCAACCAAUCCAUACCGAGCACGAUGUCAAAGCCCUGCAGCUGCCCUAACACCAACAGGUCUGCGGCAUAAACCACGAAUCUAACUGCACCGGACACGACCAACAACACUCCGCAGUCUGUAACACAUGGUCGGGGAUCUGCACCUCUCGUGUCAAAGACAACGACCCUAACUCUAGACCAUAUAACAGUGCAAAUACUUGGCUAACAAAAGAAUGCGAGGCACCGGUAUCAACUAAAGUACGACUACAUAUGCCAAAAAUCAAAAUGAUACCUGCCACCAUACGGUCGGCUGCUGAAGAGUCCUCCCGAUGGUAACUCGGUAGUACUCCAAAAGUCUGCUGGUCAGCUGGCUGCGCUGAUGCAAUGGAUAGUGCUGGAAAUGUCGCUCUAGGACACGCUGACCUCACAUGUCCUGGCUGUCCACAAGUGUAGCAGCGACCCUCUUUCUGCUCACAUUGUCGGGGCCAGUGUGGUCCUCCAUAAAUCACGCACCGCAGCGUCCUCGGUGACGGUCCCUGCUGAAGCAAUCCCCUGGAAAGCUGACGCCCCGAUGAACCACGACCCUAAGAGCAAGAUCGAGAAAGCCUCAGCGGACGUCUGCUACUCGCCUGUCCUCCAUCAUCUGGAAAAGGGCGCUUCCUGUCUUGGCUCUGCCCCGGUGCCAUAGUCCGCUCCUAGAUGGGUGUAACUCCGUGUCCCACCAAGAGUACCUGCUGCACAGAUGCUCCUGUCUCAACUCCUGACCACUGAGUGAUAAUCUCAUAAAUUCUCUGCAAUAGUACACUCUGCUGCUUGAUCACUGUCAGGGCAGCCAACUGCUCUCUCAAAUCAGGGGGUACACUUGCCUCCGGUCGUGCACUCGGCUCUGCCUGGUCGGGCAUCUCUAGCGGUGCGACUUGAUCCCUGGUCGACGGUCAACCUCGGCAGCAAUCAGAACGAAACAAAACGGGGUCAAAUACAACUCAAACACUCUCGACCCAAUCAAUGAAAGUCUAGAAAGCAACCCCUGUUUUCCUCUAAAAUUAUGUCGUCUGCAGUCAACAUAAUUUCUCAGGCCAAAACAGGUACUCCUUCAAUCACUCACCCCACUCUCGGAGGAGUUAGAACAACUAAUCAUUGACUUUCGCAAUUAGAUUACGCCUCUCACUUCUUGCUUUCCUAAGGUUUGCCAAACUUAGGUUCUCUAGGUCCCAACGACCGAAUGCUAAACUCUGAUACCAACUUAAUCUGUCACGCCCCGGAUUACAGUUCCCCGGACACGCCGACAAAUCCGCCGUAUACAAAGGAAUUUUCCCUGUAUACGAAGCGACAGUUGUACCUGUAAAACAUACAAUACUACAAACAGUAAUAUAGAGCUGCUAGAAGAACUAGUAAAGUAAAAGAAACCGAGUUCCAUAUACAUACACUGAAUCCCAGAGUACAAAGCUACUCGCGCUGGCGAGUUAAAAGUCUGUAUGUACAUGAACCCAAACCAAAACAUCUACCUGCAGUAGGGGUGCAUCUAGCUCUGCUCCUCGGGUAGGGCUCUAACUCGUGAUGCCCUUGCCUAGCUCCUGACCAGCAACAGCAGCAGCCGAAGACGAAGGCUCUGCAAAAACGGGAUAACAACUGGACGUGAGAACUACUGUAGAAACAAGUAGUCCUCAGUGGGUGCCGCCCUCAACAAUCAUCGGUCCAGCCACUAAGUCUACAGAAGGUAACAAGGCUAACAGGAAAAGCUGGAAAGAAAUCUACAGCUACAUAUCGCUACACUAGCAUGAUCUACACUAAACAACUGUAGUAAAAGUCAAAACUGACUCAAUUUCACUAGGAACUGUGAACACACCCGUCCCGCCUGCCGGAUCGAACCCGUAUCCUACUCCAGGAAUAGCUGGUGGAGAAAACUCUCUAGGGACUGUGAAUACACCCGUCCCGCCUAAUUAGGUGACACCGUAGCUCAAGAAUAACCGGCGGAGAAAACUCUCUGGAGACUGUGAAUACACCCGUCUCGUCUACUAGAAUACGCCGUAUCUCAAGAGUAAUCGGCGGAGAAAACUCUCUAAAGACUGUGAAUACACCCGUCUCACCUAAUUAGACUACACCAUACCUCGAGAGUAGUCGGUCCCAGAAAAAGGUCCAACAUGAUGGUUAAGACUCCACUCACGUCACAACCUCACUAAAGGUAGAGAAAAACGUCACUCACUAUCUCACCCGGGCUACCCAAAACGGACCCACCCUGCCUGUAUCUAGCUGCGCCGUACACCACCCCGAGGGUAACCGGCUCAAGAACUGUCGAACAGAAACUGCGACACUCAUCGCACUGAAACCUCAUUCCGGAAUGGCAUUCGCGGGCGCGACCCAACGAGUUUAUAAGUAUCUCUGUCAAGUUCAUACCGCUCUCACAGGCUAAGUCAAGUAACCGACUCUAACUGGUCUAACAACCAACAGGUAAAGUGCCCUCGGCACAAUCUAACGCCAAAAAGGCGAUACGAGUCUACCGUCAACUCCGACGGCACCCAACAGUCCGAAAUAGCCUGAACGCUACUAUAAAAAUACACUCGGCAUCCCAGCACGAGCGUAACUAAAAAUUAAACUACCUGGAAUACUCACUAUGAGGAUACUGCAACAGUAUAAAAUAAUACAACGGUCCCUAGGCUAAAUCAGGUAGUUUAACAUAUGCCAGGUCCCGAACACGGGUUUUCUCCUAUGUCAAAUUCAGAUCCAAUAUGUAUAAUUUAUUUAUAAAAAUAGGCUCCAAUUUCAGUUUAGAUGAAAACAACAUUUACAAAUAUGAAACUGAGCUAAAACAAUAGUAAUGUGUAAUACUAACUAUACAUGUCGACAAACAAGACUAUAUGAGUAGGAAUCCGAUGAUAAACUCACCUCGAAAGCUAAAUCCAAUCUGGCGCGACGUCGAGAAUGGCGGAAACGCACCCUCGUCCAGCCUCCUCAUGAUGCUACGACUGCAACCGUAUCCUCGAACGGCUUUGCGGCGCGACGUCGAUGUCGAAUCCGAGCUCCUCGGCUACCUCUAUCCGUGCUCUCCACCAUGCACGUAAUUAACUAGAGAGAACAAAAAAAAAUGCACACU
rnacentral:lncRNA from 1 species